AAAAGGUGACUGAACACAUUAAAUUUGUGUUACUGGGGAAGCAGUUUAGGUACAACAAAUCAGGCUCCAGACGUCUAUACAGUACAUUGGUGGAUUCAAAGAACAGUCCCAUUUAUGUAAAUCAAACCCUUGACCUCCCUCUGGAUACUUUAUCUUGGCUGAACAAUCUAUCUUGUGUAUGACCUCAGAUCAGACCCUGGAUAUUCUCUGACGUCUCAUCCCUCGGUACCACGCUUCUCGGACUGAUAUAACGUGUAUGAACUUUGGCCUGGUCACGGACUACUUCCCUGAUCUCUCCCUGCAGAGGUUCUUAUUCGGCUUGAUUACUUGUGUAUGAUCACUGGCUUUUGACUGAAUUAUC